rnacentral:misc_RNA from 1 species
GAUGAAGAACGUAGCGAAAUGCGAUAAGUAAUGUGAAUUGCAGAAUUCAGUGAAUCAUCGAAUCAUUGAACGCACAUUGCGCCCGCCAGUAUUCUGGCGGGCAUGCCUGUCCGAGCGUCAUUUCAACCCUCGAACCCCUCCGGGGGGUCGGCGUUGGGGACCUCGGGAGCCCCUAAGACGGGAUCCCGGCCCCGAAAUACAGUGGCGGUCUCGCCGCAGCCUCUCCUGCGCAGUAGUUUGCACAACUCGCACCGGGAGCGCGGCGCGUCCACGUCCGUAAAACACCCAACUUCUGAAAUGUUGACCUCGGAUCAGGUAGGAAUACCCGCUGAACUUAAGCAUAUCAAUAAGCGGAGGA